rnacentral:sRNA from 1 species
GCUGUUCUGAACCACGUCCUUUUGCUGCAGGAUGAGUUGGUUCAGUAUGUCGA